rnacentral:rRNA from 1 species
UCCGUAGUGAGAAAAUUCUGUUGCUUUGGCGCGCCCUGGUCCUCCGCGGCCGCCCCCCCCCUCCCCGGGGGGUGGCCAGCGCCCGCCAGAGGACCAUCAAACUCCAGUCAGUAAACGAUGCAGUCUGAAAAACAUUUAAUAAACUAAAACUUUCAACAACGGAUCUCUUGGUUCUGGCAUCGAUGAAGAACGCAGCGAAAUGCGAUAAGUAAUGUGAAUUGCAGAAUUCAGUGAAUCAUCGAAUCUUUGAACGCACAUUGCGCCCUUUGGUAUUCCGAAGGGCAUGCCUGUUCGAGCGUCAUUACAACCCUCAAGCUCUGCUUGGUAUUGGGCACCGUCCUUUGCGGGCGCGCCUCAAAGACCUCGGCGGUGGCGUCUUGCCUCAAGCGUAGUAGAACAUACAUCUCGCUUCGGAGCGCAGGGCGUCGCCCGCCGGACGAACCUUCUGAACUUUUCUCAAGGUUGACCUCGGAUCAGGU